rnacentral:lncRNA from 1 species
GGUUUUCUACAUUAUAAAGUAAUCAAACUUAUGUUUGUUUAAUGCAAAGAAAGAAAAAUAUGGCCAAAGUUUUCAAGAUUGUUUAUGUUACGAUCCUCUUGCUUUCAUCGUUUCUUGUUUUAAUUGAUGGUAAGGUCUUUUCUGAUCAUUUUCAAAAAUUUCUCUUGAACUUAUACACAAUAUAUGACACCUUUUAAUAACAAUAUUUUAUUAUUGUUUUACAUUGCAGCAUUUCGAUUUUGUAUUAAUAAAAAAGAUUGUCCAUAUAUGGAAUGUGAUCCUCCUAAAAAUUCGACAUGCAUUGGAAAUAUUUGUGGUUGCACUUUAGGGUAACAUUUUCUUUUGUUUAUAGUGGAGCUUGCAUACCAAACUCAUGAGCUCUAAUAUAUUGUUCAAACUUUUUACCAUAAAUCAAACCUAGUGGUUUGCGCCUAGUGUAACUUACUUCAACUAUAAUAAUUGAAUUUCAUGUUGUAAUGUUGUUACUUAUAUGAUUUCUCUUGCAUUUUGUGAUAUAUAUUAUCGGAUAAAUAGUGUUAUACCCCCUGCAAAAU